rnacentral:rRNA from 1 species
AGUGAACGCUGGCGGUAGGCCUAACACAUGCGAGUCGAACGGCAGCACAGUAAGAGCUUGCUCUUACGGGUGGCGAGUGGCGGACGGGUGAGGAAUACAUCGGAAUCUACUUUUUCGUGGGGGAUAACGUAGGGAAACUUACGCUAAUACCGCAUACGACCUACGGGUGAAAGCAGGGGAUCUUCGGACCUUGCUCGAUUGAAUGAGCCGAUGUCGGGUUAGCUAGUUGGCGGGGUAAAGGCCCACCAAGGCGUCGAUCCGUAGCUGGUCUGAGAGGAUGAUCGGCCACACUGGAACUGAGACACGGUCCAGACUCCUACGGGAGGCAGCAGUGGGGAAUAUUGGACAAUGGGCGCAAGCCUGAUCCAGCCAUACUGCGUGGGUGAAGAAGGCCUUCGGGUUGUAAAGCCCUUUUGUGGGGAAAGAAAAGCAGCAGGUUAAUACCCCGCUGUUCUGACGGUACCCAAAGAAUAAGCACCGGCUAACUUCGUG